CCCACUCACAGCUGGAUCGGUUGUGAGAAACAUAUUCCAUUGUCUCAGGUAAUACAAUGACGUGCGGAUAAAAAUUACUCCACAAUGCAACCAAAACACAUUUUUCUUAUGAGUAAUAAUUCCAUUCAAAAGAGAAGAAAAUGAUCAGCAAGUAACUUCUAUCAAGAAACUAAAAGACAACUAAGGAAACAAAAGUAAGCACCGAAAGAAGUCCCAGAAAUUAGCCUCAAAGUUUGCGAGCUAUUCAUGAUAGAACUUCCUUUGUAGGAGAAUUACAUCAAGGACCUUCAAAGAGUACAUUAAGUAAAGGGAAACCUAAUUUUUGCCACCUUAGUUUUGUAAGAAUCUCAAACAAUGCCACCAUCCUUCACACUUUCCAAAACUACCACUGGUUUGCUUUAUCCUUCAUUGUUGCCACUUUUUAUUGACAUUUUAGUUCCCAAGCAACCCUUGUCUAAGGGCCCCAAUUGCAGUCGCUUUCUCUCCCACCUACUUUUGUUGACUAGGACAUAUUCUCGCUGCCUGUUGGUGGAACAUGGCUGGGGACAUUUUGUUUCUUCCCAACCCAAACAGCUCCAAGCUCUCCUUCACUUCCCAAAACUAGGAACUCUCUCUCUCUCUCUCUCUCUCUCUCUCUCUCUCUCUACUACUACUACUACUACUACUACUACUACUACUACUACUACUACUACUACGUACGUACUACUACUACUACUACGUACUACUACUACUACUACUACUACUACUACUACUACUACUACUUACUACUACUACUACUACUACGUACUACGUANNNNNNNNNNNNNNNNNNNNCUCGUCCGUCGUUGGUUGGGUACGAACUAGGCGUCGGGUACGGACGUUUAGUUUUCGUUUCCCUACCCAACCAACACUCCUACACUCUCCUUCCUACUACCUAACCUAACGAACGUACUCUCUCUCUCUCUCUCUCUCUCUCUCUCUCUCUACCCAAAGUAUGAAUUUCUAGACCCUCUCUACUCAACCGGAUAAUGUUUAGUUGUCUUUCUAACCUAACCUAAGAACUUAAGAUUACAUCUCUUUUGAGCAAUUUCAAUCCUAGUUUCUCUCAGCAAUCCCUUGUAGAAGUGAAUGCCCAAAGUUAUGCUGAGAAGGAAACAGAGAUGAAGGCAGUGAGAGGUGGCAAUGCAGAACAAGUACAAUAUAUGAAAUCAACUUUUUUUCAUUUUAUUUGUUUUAUUUUACUGGCUUGUCUCCUUAAAAGGGCCACUUACAACACUAUAAUAAAAAAUAAACUCUACUACAGUCUAAGGAUCACACAAUUACCGCCUCUAAACAUGAAUUUUAUUCGUAAAGAAAGAAUUAAAUAAUUAUGAAAUAUAAAUCAAGAACUAGGAAGCCACUUGAUUGAAUGAAGAUUUGCCUAGGAUCGCCUCCGUAGGAUUUAGUACAACCCACUCCACACCAAUGGUGCAGUGAUCUUAUGGUCCCUGCUUUCAAGGUGGGAAGCUACUAUGGCAAACCCUAAUUCAACCUGGGGCUGAGAGCAUAACGAAUAGAGAGAAUACUGAGAACACAAUUAGGAUUUAAGACCCUUUUUUCUGAGGCAUGAUGUCCUAGGCCUGACC
rnacentral:lncRNA from 1 species